AUUGAACGCUGGCGGAAUGCUUUACACAUGCAAGUCGAACGGCAGCACGGACUUCGGUCUGGUGGCGAGUGGCGAACGGGUGAGUAAUGUAUCGGAACGUGCCCAGUCGUGGGGGAUAACGUAGUGAAAAUUACGCUAAUACCGCAUACGAUCUAUGGAUGAAAGCGGGGGAUCGCAAGAACUCGCGCGAUUGGAGCGGCCGAUAACAGAUUAGGUAGUUGGUGGGGUAAAGGCCCACCAAGCCAACGAUCUGUAGCUGGUCUGAGAGGACGACCAGCCACACUGGAACUGAGACACGGUCCAGACUCCUACGGGAGGCAGCAGUGGGGAAUUUUGGACAAUGAGCGAAAGCCUGAUCCAGCCAUUCCGCGUGCAGGAUGAAGGCCCUCGGGUUGUAAACUGCUUUUGUACAGAACGAAAAGGUUUCUACUAAUACUAGGAGCUCAUGACGGUACUGUAAGAAUAAGCACCGGCUAACUACGUGCCAGCAGCCGCCGCCG
rnacentral:rRNA from 1 species